UGCAAGUCGAACGAGAGGAAGGAAAGCUUGCUUUCUGAAUCUAGUGGCAAACGGGUGAGUAACACGUGGGUUACCUGCCUCUAAGUUGGGGAUAACAGUUGGAAACGACUGAUAAUACCGAAUGUGCUCUACGGAGUAAAGAAGCCUUUAAAGCUUCGCUUAGAGAUGGGCCUGCGGCGUAUUAGCUAGUUGGUGGGGUAAUGGCCUACCAAGGCAACGAUGCGUAGCCGAACUGAGAGGUUGAUCGGCCACACUGGGACUGAGACACGGCCCAGACUCC
rnacentral:rRNA from 1 species